AAGUCGAGCGGAUGACGGGAGCUUGCUCCUUGAUUCAGCGGCGGACGGGUGAGUAAUGCCUAGGAAUCUGCCUGGUAGUGGGGGACAACGUUUCGAAAGGAACGCUAAUACCGCAUACGUCCUACGGGAGAAAGCAGGGGACCUUCGGGCCUUGCGCUAUCAGAUGAGCCUAGGUCGGAUUAGCUAGUUGGUGAGGUAAUGGCUCACCAAGGCGACGAUCCGUAACUGGUCUGAGAGGAUGAUCAGUCACACUGGAACUGAGACACGGUCCAGACUCCUACGGGAGGCAGCAGUGGGGAAUAUUGGACAAUGGGCGAAAGCCUGAUCCAGCCAUGCCGCGUGUGUGAAGAAGGUCUUCGGAUUGUAAAGCACUUUAAGUUGGGAGGAAGGGCAGUAAGCUAAUACCUUGCUGUUUUGACGUUACCGACAGAAUAAGCACCGGCUAACUCUGUGCCAGCAGCCGCGGUAAUACAGAGGGUGCAAGCGUUAAUCGGAAUUACUGGGCGUAAAGCGCGCGUAGGUGGUUUGUUAAGUUGGAUGUGAAAGCCCCGGGCUCAACCUGGGAACUGCAUCCAAAACUGGCAAGCUAGAGUACGG
rnacentral:rRNA from 1 species